GAUGUAUAAAAUAACAUAUUUUUGUGUGUAAUAUUACAAUCAUCUGCUAUACAAUAUUAAAUCUUGGCAACACUGACCAGACUUUUGCUCAUCGCAGUUUUGAUCUGGUUGGCGACGGUGCGCCAUAUUGAAUUUUGUUGCUUCCUUGUAAGAUUCGUCAAUUCAACCAUUGGAAAACCGUCACGGUUUUAUAUAACCGUCAGGAAUAUGGAUACCUGGGGCGCAGCUAAAUCGGCCUGAAAUAAACAGACGUCUUCAUAAUCAAAUUGGCGAUCGUGGCCGUCAGCUGCUGAACAUUCAACAGCUCGGAAGCGGUGAACGAAGUAACGUCGGACCACAGGAUAUACACGGAACAUACCAUUUGUCAAUUCAACCAGGGGAACCGGAAAACGUUUUCAUAACCAACAUCUUGGCAAUCGUGGCCGUCAGCUGCUGAACAUUCAUCGAACAUCUCGGAAGCGGUGAACGAGGGUAACGCCAUGGAUUGGACUACAGGAUGUACACGGAACAUACCCAUUCGAAGUUCUCCUAGAUCAUCGAUUUUCGUGUCGCUCGGUUUGAAAGGUGCAACAUGGUUAUUCAUCCGAAACUGGCCUGCGAGUUUCAGGUGAGGAGCUGCACACCUGUCGCCACACCAGUUCACUGAAUCACAGGAUCGUGUUUAGAUGACUUGCUGCCCCUGGCUGAUUUUGCUGCGUAUGGACAAAUAAUUAAACGGGCUGAUUGCGGCUUCUCCUAAGAACCCAUCUGUCUAGGCUUCCAGUCGGCGAAUAAUGAUAAAUUCUAAUCCGCUGAAGAGUACCGUUAUGUGCGUCAAUAGCUGUAUGGGAAAAACCCUAAAGAUUGGGAUAAAUGAAUUUCCUUUGUUCGAGUCCUGUGAAAAAAAAAUUAUGUGAGCAAAUUUGAAUAAUAAAAAAAUAUGUUCAAAAAACUGAAAA